AUGCUGCCCGACGGCGGCGGCGACGACGAGGAGCGCUGGCUCGCCGAGGGCAUCGCCGGCGUCCAGCAGAACGCCUUCUACAUGCACCGCGCCCUCGACUCGAACAACCUCAAGGACGCGCUCAAGUACUCGGCGCAGAUGCUCUCGGAGCUGCGCACCUCCAGGCUCUCCCCGCACAAGUACUACGAGCUAUACAUGAGGGCGUUCGACGAGAUGCGGAAGCUGGAGAUGUUCUUCAGGGAGGAGACCCGCCGGGGGAGCUGCUCCGUGGUUGAUCUCUACGAGCUUGUUCAGCAUGCUGGCAACGUAUUGCCGAGACUUUAUCUGCUCUGCACAGUAGGAUCUGUGUACAUUAAAUCGAAAGAGGCUCCCGCUAAAGAUGUUCUGAAAGACCUUGUUGAAAUGUGUCGAGGCAUUCAACAUCCUCUUCGUGGACUUUUCCUAAGAAGUUACCUCUCUCAGAUAAGCCGAGACAAGCUACCUGAUAUUGGUUCAGAGUAUGAAGGGGAUGCUGAUAGCAUUAAUGAUGCAGUUGAAUUUGUUCUUCAGAAUUUCAUAGAAAUGAACAAACUCUGGGUCCGGAUGCAGCAUCAGGGGCCUGUUCGGGAGAAGGACAAGCGGGGGAAGGAAAGAAAUGAACUGCGUGAUCUGGUAGGCAAAAACCUUCACGUUCUAAGCCAAAUCGAAGGCGUUGACCUUGAAAUGUACAAAGAGAAUGUUCUUCCAAGGAUAUCAGAACAGGUAGUUAAUUGUAAGGACGAUCUUGCACAGUUCUACCUGAUGGACUGCAUAAUCCAAGUCUUUCCAGAUGAAUACCAUCUACAGACAUUGGAAACAUUGUUGAGCGCAUUUCCCCAGCUACAGCCAAGUGUUGAUAUCAAAACGGUGCUAUCUCAACUCAUGGACAGAUUGUCAAACUAUGCUGCCACAAGUCCUGAAGUACUGCCGGAGUUUUUGCAAGUUGAAGCUUUUGCGAAGUUCAGCAAUGCUAUUGGAAAGGUGAUAGAAGCUCAAGUUGACAUGCCGGUUGUUGGAGCAGUAACUUUAUAUGUAUCACUCCUCACAUUUACUCUCCGUGUGCAUCCAGAUCGGCUUGAUUAUGUUGACCAAGUGCUGGGUGCAUGCGUGAAGAAACUUUCUGGCAAGGAAAAACUUGAAGAUAGCAGAGCAACAAAGCAAAUUGUUGCACUUCUUAGUGCUCCCCUGGAGAAAUAUAGUAAUAUUGUUACUGCAUUGGAGCUUUCAAAUUAUCCCCGGGUUAUGGAUUAUCUGGAUAAUGCUACAACGAAAGUGAUGGCUCUGGUAAUAAUUCAAAGCAUAAUGAAGAACACAACCUGCAUAUCUACUUCCGACAAGAUCGAGGCUCUUUUUGAUUUGAUUAAGGGCCUUAUAAAAGAUAUGGAUGGGGCUCAAGAUGACGAGCUUGAUGAAGAGGAUUUUAAGGAGGAGCAGAAUUCUGUAGCACGCCUUAUUCACAUGUUGCACAAUGAUGAUCACGACGAGAUGUUGAAGAUCUUAUGUACUGUUCAGAAGCAUAUACUUCAGGGAGGUCCCAAGCGUCUACCUUUCACUGUGCCGUCCUUAGUAUUCUCCGCUCUCAAGUUGGUCAGACGAUUACAAGGUCAAGAUGGAGAUGUCACUGGGGAGGAAGUUCCCGCAACUCCUAAGAAGAUAUUUCAGAUCUUGCAUCAGACCAUUGAAGCACUCCAAUGUAUUCCUUGCCCAGAAUUGUCUCUCAGACUAUAUCUACAAUGCGCAGAGGCUGCCAAUGAUUGUGAUUUGGAACCGGUUGCUUAUGAGUUCUUUACUCAAGCAUUCAUCUUAUAUGAAGAAGAAAUAGCGGAUUCUAAGGCUCAAAUUACUGCACUUCACCUAAUAAUUGGAACCCUUCAGCGGAUGAAUAUAUUUGGGGUGGAAAAUAGAGACACCCUCACUCAUAAGACAACAGGGUACUCAGCAAAACUUCUAAAGAAGCCUGAUCAAUGCCGGGCAGUCUAUGCAUGUUCGCACCUUUUCUGGACUGAUGACCAAGAUGGAAUCAUGGAUGGUGAAAGGGUCCUCCUUUGCUUAAAGCGUGCCUUGAGAAUUGCAAAUGCUGCUCAACAAAUGGCCAAUGUAUCAAAGGGAAGCAGCGGAUCUGUCAUUCUAUUCAUUGAAAUUUUGAACAAGUAUCUGUACUUCUUUGAGAAAGGAAUUCCACAAAUCACGAACACUGUCAUCCAAGAUUUGAUCGAACUGAUCAGGACAGAGAAGCAAAAUGACAGCAGUGCAUCUGAUCCAUCUGCCGAAGCUUUCUUUGCAAGCACUCUACGAUACAUCGCAUUCCAGAAGCAGAAAGGUGGAAGCAUAGGAGAAAAGUAUGAACAGAUAAAAGCUUCGUAA
rnacentral:rRNA from 1 species